GGCUGGAAAACCAUUUGAUGCAUCCUCAGUACAGGUUCUAAUCGAGGCUUUUACCAGGGAUCCAUAAGAAGAAUUCUGCUUAGAACAGCAUCAUAAAAGCUGGGAUGCUGUUGACUGCAAACUUGCUGGCACUUAUCUUCAUCUGGACAGGAAUGGCAGCUACAUCUGUUGUUCCACCAUGUGACCAUCACAUGUUUGAUAGUGGUGUUCAAAACUGCUUGUCAGACUUCAACAAGAGCAUGGAGACAACUGGCUAUCAACACAUGUGCCCAUGGCCUACUGU